AUCUCCACAAAGGGUUAAAUUCUUUCUCCCUAGUUUUUGAAGAAAUGACACUAGUGCUAUUUGUUUGAGUAGAAUUAGAAUUUGAAGAAUCCAUUUUGUUUGAGUAGAAUUAGAAUUUGAAGAAUCCAUUUGCAAAUUAUUCAAACAAAUUAUAUACUAAAAAUUAAAGCACAAUACAAAUUAUAUAUUAAAAGAUUAAAAAAUUAAGCAAUAGAAUUGAAUAAAUUGACUAU
rnacentral:misc_RNA from 1 species